UACAGAGGUGGCAAGCGUUGUUCGGAAUUACUGGGCGUAAAGGGCGCGUAGGCGGCCUGCUAAGUCGAACGUGAAAUCCCUGGGCUCAACCCAGGAACUGCGUCCGAUACUGGUUGGCUUGAAUCCGGGAGAGGGAUGUGGAAUUCCAGGUGUAGCGGUGAAAUGCGUAGAUAUCUGGAGGAACAUCAGUGGCGAAGGCGACACCCUGGACUCAUACUGACACUGAGGUGCGAAAGCGUGGGGAGCAAACAGG
rnacentral:rRNA from 1 species